UGCAUAUGUACAUAACCUCGCGUCUAAGGCAUGGCCCGCUAGAAAAACCUUACUAACGAAUUUUCUAGCGGGAAUUAAUAUGUAGAAACCGGAGUUCAAUUAUAAAAAUUCCAUAAAUUAUUAUUAUAUCAGAAGCUUUAUUAUGUGUAUCGUAAAUAAGAUUAAUAAAUAAAAUUAAUUAUAGUGUUACACAAAGUUGGAAAAACUGUCAUAAAUAAAUUAUUGUGAAUAUUAAACUUCAAGUGCGUUAUUUUGGUACACAUAUUUACAUAAAUAUGUCUAUACUCUAUAUUACAAACAUGAAGGUAUUGCAAACAAAUUAAUAGAUGCUGUCGCACAUUCAACUCCAUCUUCUUCACGAUUGAGGCGGAAAUCGAUUAUGUUGCAAAGACACAGUUUCUAACUCACCAAUCAGCUUAAAUAUAUCCAUAUGUACACACACGAUCAAAACGAAAUGCACAAAUUUUAGUGCUUACAUCUAAAGAGACACUGGCCACUUGUAAAUUGGAUAUGUUUGUAUCUUUUGAUCAAAUUGGGUUCAAAUCAAAUCUAUAUUGGGUAUAGAAAAUCAAAAAUCGCGUUGAAGUAUCAGAAGUUCCAGAAGUUUCAGAAGGUCCUGAAGUUCCAGAUGUUCCAGGAGGUCCAGAAGUUCCAGAAAGUCCCAGUCGUUCCAAGGGGCCAAUAAGAGAGGGCUACCUGAUUGCGACCUUUGAAUCAUCCGCCACUUACUUUCGCACGUUAUUUCAAUAUGUAAUCAAGUGCAUCUUUCUGCUGGCCUUUUAUUAGCAACUUUAACAUUAAUUAUCCUAAAAUUUAUAUACUGUCUAUUUCAAAAUCCGGAUAUCAUUGGAAUCAGCUUCUAAGUUCUAUUAUUGUACCAAAUCUCAUUAAAAAGUGUGCGUCAACUCUGGGGGAUCUUCUUUUGUCAGGUGGAUGUCCGCCUUAUGUUAUUAAAUGAUCGACUGUUAACCAA